CCCGUUCAAAGGUUACUGUGAACUGUGAUUUUUUUUUUAUUUUUCUGUGAACUGAACUGUGAACUUUGUUAAAUAAUUAUUGUUAGUUAAGCUGUGAACUUUGUUGUUCUUACUUGUUGCUGGAUUAAAAAAAUACUUCGAAAAAUUGAGGAAAAAAAGCUUUUUUUGCACCAAACCCUCCCCUAAAUUCGGUUUUUUAAUGCUCUGUUCAGAAAUUAUUGAAUGAUUAUUGAAUGUUUUGUGUUUUAGUUGAAUGAUUAUUUGAUUCUUGAUUAGCACCGGAUGCUCUGCUGUGUUUGUGUACUAUUUUUGAAUGAAAAUUUCUGUACUGUGUGAUUUUUUUGAGUAAUUCAACAGGUUAGAAAUAAACUUGCUGUUUAAUAAUAUUUCUUCCAUUAUAAAUCUCGGUAGUUUCAAUAGGAAGCAGAUAUAAAAAGCAGACCUUUCAAGUCUGUGCGAGUUGCUGUCCAUGUCCUGGUAAAUCGAUUGCAAGAAUAAAAAAAUCAAAAAAAUAGAAAAGAAGCAGGGUUAUGUCCAUUUGAAAGAAGUUACUUAGUUCACAUCAAGAAUGGGUUCAAGCCAUUGGUUUAAGACAAUCAUUCGAUUAAGAAAAUAAAAACAAAGCAGAUCAAAGAAAUCAAAGGUACAGCACACUUUCUUUGUGUCAAUUUUACCUUCAUUAAUAACUCAUCCUAGUCCAAGAUUUCAUUGUAUGAGAGUCAAAAUGAUUAUGUAAAACUAUGUAGUACCACCAUGCAGAGAGAUUUGAAGUUCAUGUAUGUCUUACUACCAAGAAGGCCGAUAUAAAUGUAGUACCACUAUGUAGUAUCACUUUGUUUAUUUACAUUUUAUUUAUUAUUUUAUUAUAAAACGGUUUUUACGGUUCAACCACGAUUCAACCGGUUGAACCUAUGAACCAGUAAACCAGUAGCUAGAGCGGUUCGAUGACCGGUUCAGUUUUCAGAACCUUGCAUCCAACUAU